GAGGCAGGCUGGGACAGGAUGUGACAUCAAAAAGGCGGGGGAAAUUGAACUGGGCCAGACAACUCCAUCCCGGCGGCCUUUAGCCAAGGGGGGCUCUGGAGACCCGUGCUGGAGACUGAGUCAGGGACCACUGAGUGUCUUGGGGAAAUGAACUCCAUAAAGAAAAUCCCCAACAGCAAAUAGCAGAGCGGUGAGGGAUGUGGCCCCAGGCUUUCACGCCGCAGGGGUUGUUUUUUACCUGUGGACUUGGGGACCUACAGACACAGAGGCCAACAGGAUUACACUGUAGCUGAAUAAAAAGCAAGGAGAGAAUUAAGCAGAGCCAAAGCCACUGGCUUCCCUCGAGUUCAUCAUCGUGGGGAAAGACAUCUAUGAAGAUUGCCACUGGAUGGGGGCCCGUGAAUUUCCACCCCACAUCCUCACUUGGACUCUGUCCGUCCUGUGUUGAAGGCUAGCCGCUCAUGUGCUCAGUUUCUCCUCCCUGUGGUCCUUAGUGCUCCACGCCUGGCCCUUCUCUCAGCUUGUGCUGUCAAGGUCGAAGCCUAUGCUGGUUCGCCCAACUUCUGUGUUAGGGUGGAUGCAGUCCCUUCCUGUCCCACUGCCCACUGGCUUCUUUCGGACCCACCCUGUCUCAGGGUGGCUCAGUCCUCCAGGCUGCCACACCUCAUGCAACUCCAGAUACAAGGCUUUCCUGCCUAGGCUCAAGGGCUCGCACUUUGGGUAGCUCUAGCUUCCCCAAGCCAGCCUUGAAUCUGUGCUGUCUCCGUCACGACUCAGUGGGUGCCCAGCCACCAGGGUUACCCGACGCCAGGGCCAGCUUGCUCCGUCCCACUUCCCAGCUCCCUAACUACCUCACCCGCUGUCUUCCUGAUGGACCAGCCAGCUUGCCUGGUGUGCCUCCUCAGGACACCAGCAAAUCGAUAUACUUUGUACUCCUUUAAGCUAGGCUUCCUGCUACCACUGAGCCUCAUUAUAAUGUGACAGAGUGUUGCCAAGGUAACGGCACUAACUCCCUGUCCUCUCUUCGAAUUUCCUAGCAAAUGGGGCCUGAAACCUUCCCAGCUGUCCAGCUUCGAUGGGCUUUGCCACCAGAACCAAGACCAGAGCCUUUGGAUGGCCAGCUUCCCAUUGUCGUGGUGCAAUUGAGCUAGGUACCCCAUGCAGCCUGCUGUUCCCAGCUUUCUGCUCUGCCUCCUCUGACCGAGCUUGUUAAGUUGGGUCUCCUGAAUAACGUUUGUUUAUCGGAAAUGUACUAUUUGACAGGCACUAUGCCGAGGGCAGGCUGAAGAAAGGGUCAAAGGCAGAUGGGCUCAUACCAAGGACAACAGACUUGGGCAUUAUGACCAGCUGUUUCUAUCUGGAAGCCAUCAGGGAAAGAUGGGAUGUCUGCUUUCACCCCUAUGUGUUGUGUGCUAUUUCUGCAGGAUUGACAGCUAUGGUCAUGAAGACUCCACCCAUCAUCCCAAUUAUUUGCAGUUCUUAGCCCUUCAUCUGGGCUAGUCAUGAAGCAGUAACCUACACGCUCCUAUUGAAUCCUUGGCCUGAGGAAGGGCUGGGAUGUUUCAGUCCUCUGGGUGAUUCUUGCCCUACCCAGCACCAUGAUACAGCAACUCCUGCCUAAUCACUACCGUCCUUGUCCUCCUGGCCACACGGGGCUAUGUUGAGCUCAGUCUCUUGUCCUCCAUCCCCUGCUCCCAGAUAGCAGAGCAGGCACUAUGAAUUCUGUUCCCACUUUGCUGUCCCGGCCUCCCAGCUCAAGGGGUCCCAGGUACCCUAGAAGUUGUUCGACCUUCCUUCCCACUCAAGUUCACUCCCUCCAACCCCAACUCUUUAUUCUUGCUACUGUGGGGAAAAUUAACUGGGUGCUCUCUGGGGAGCCUGAUGCCUCACCCCACCUCCGCUCCGUGACCACAAGCUGGGCCUUCCUCCACUUCAUUCUGUAGAUAGGUGAGCUCUGUCCCAGGAGACCAGCCUCUCGUCUCCACUUGUUCAUUUCUAUCAGCACCGACACAUAGCUGUUUGCCCACCUUCAGUUAAGUGCGCCUCACCCUUCCGGCCAGCAUCCGCCAUGCUCACCUCUUAGACCCCUGUGCAGAGCUGCGGGUCACCGCUGACUGAGUCAGUUGCUGCUUUUCCCAGUCUCCUCAGUGGCAAGUCUUGCUUCUCAGGACCACUGCAGACAAGUUUACCAGCAAUGUCUACAAUCUAGCAAUGACUUUAUCUGCAGUGUCUCCACAGUGGCCGCCACCCACUCCAAGGAGCCAUGGCUGCCCCUGGACUGGGCACAGCUUCCCUUUCUAUACCCUCAGGCCCUCUUAGCCCUCCUCAGCUCUUUGUGGUUUCACCAACCUGCCGUCAUUAAAGAUUGAGAUGACCCUGAGUUCAGGCCUCAGUGCUCUCUGCCGGGUCCUGCCCCCUCCUCUCAGUACUCACAUCCUUUCAUGCCUGAACAGUCUCUCCCCUGAAUCAUAGACUCACACCCGGCCUGCAGCCGGCAGCUCUCUUGGGCUGAGUAACUCCCACGUCUGCAGGUCCACUCCAACCACCUCAGCCCUGCCCUGCUCUUUCCCAUGCCACCGACAGCGAGUUUGCUCUUCUGUGGCUGUAACUGGGCACACAGGAGCUCAGCUCUCAGAGCCCUCAGGGUCUCUCAGUCCUCACAACCAGCCCAGCAGCAGAUCCUGUGGGUCCACCACCCAACCACCAGUGUUCACAACCAAAGCCACCUACUUUCUGGUGGGUUUCUGAUCUUUUUUUGUUGUUGUUAAUUUUUUUCUGUUUGUUUGUAUUUUGUUUUGUUUUUGUUUAUACAGAUAGGGUUUCUCUGUGUAGCCCUGGCUUUCCUGGAACUCCCUCUGUAGACCUGGCUGGCCUCGAACUCAGAGACCUACCUGCUUCUGCCACCUAAGUUCUGGGAUUAAGGGGUGUGCCACAACUCCUGGCAUGCAUAUAUAUAUAUAUAUAUAUAUAUAUAUAUAUAUAUAUAUAUAUAUAUAUAAAAUCUCCAUAUAUAUAAUUUGUUUAAUUAUCUCAUCUUAUAGUCACCUUUGUCACUUGUCAGAAACUCAGUAGUGUCCUUCACACCUCGGCGGCUUAGAUGUCUUCCUGUUGGGAAGCUCUCUAUACUGGUGAGGUUUUGUCAUCGUGACACAAGCUUGGGUCAUUGUUAAGGGGGAACCUCAACUGAGAAAUGACUCCAUUAGCUCAGCCUGUAGGAAGUCUGUGUGGCAUGAUCUUGGUUGAUAAUUGAUGUGGGAGGGUCCAGCCCUCUGUGUGUCCCAGGUGGUCUUGGGUCGUAUGAGAAAACGAAACAAAGACAACAAAAAAACAAAAAAAUCCUGAUCAAAUCAGCAAGCAGAGCCCCUCCAUGGCCUCUGCUUCCGUCCCUGCCUCCUGGUCCCUGCCUUGGUUUCCCACAGUGAUGAUCUGUGGUCAGGAUGUGUAAGUCAAAUAAAUCUUUUCCUCUCUAAGCUGCU